AGCAGAAUAGCUCAGUUGGAUAGAGCACCGGUUAUACAAACCAGGAGGUCGCAGGUUUGAAUCCUGCUUCAGCCA